CUGAAACKGUAGGAAAUGCCAACGCAACAGCUGAAACAACUGCUACAAAUGUCAACGCAACAGCUGAAACAACUGUUAGAAUUGCCAACACAACAGCUGAAACAACAGUUGCAAAUGUCAAUGCAACAGUUGGUCCAGGCUGCUCAAAUCCACCAGUACUGUGCUGUGCGGRUCAGAAUAAUGACUGUCGUAGGGGCUCAUGUUACUGUGAUCAGGCCUGUGUGAAAUUAAGGGACUGCUGCUCCGACUUUGCGUCGACCUGCAAGAACUAUUUCCAAUCUCUGACACUUCACCUAAAAGUCUCUCUGUUAACCCGCGGUAACAAUAACAAUGAUGGGAUUUCUCAGGCUUUGUUUAGCUAUUUAUCCCAAAUCCUUCGUGAGCCGGCCUGUGAAAAUUGCUCUCUGACAAUCAAGCACAUCUCAUUCAACUAAACCCCCAGGAAUAGAGCUGCAUAUGGAAAAAAAAAAGUGACGCAGUCACURAAGUCGACAGAGUGGGUUGUGCAGCCAAAGUUCUGGAGUUAAAAAUUAUGUCUAUUAUUGGUACCAAUCCUUAUUGUAAUUUUUUUCGGCAGGUUCUAAGCUCUUUUUUUUUCUUCUCUACUAAAACUGGUAAAGAAUAUUAUUAUUAUUGCUCUGUAAAUCCAGAUAAACAAUUAAACAAAUUCUACAAUAAACUGUUGAAGGAAAAUGGCACUGAUUCACAGUUGAGACGAGAUAUUUGCAUAUACUGCAAAAAAAUUAGGAGAGAAACUUUGUAGAAGUUUGUCGGACUUCCUCCUGCGUCAGAUGCCUGUACACACACGUACAUCCACAGACGGCUGACGUUGUCAAACACAAAGGCAUAAAGCUUUAACAUGUGUAGGCGGAUCCCCACAACAAUCAACUGAAGCACUAAGAAACUAUAGCUACACAGAUUGUACUUGCCUAGAACACAGUGCAGUUCAGAGGUUGAGGGACWAAGACAAAACCAGGUGCAUUGUGACUUAUUUACAGAUUCCAAAAGUGUGGAUUCUGAGAUUUCUAGUCAUUUGAAAAAAAAAAAAACAAUUAAAGAAUGGGGAAACAGAUAACAAUCCUCAUAGUUUAAAAAAGAAAUGUCCCCAAACCU